rnacentral:lncRNA from 1 species
CCUAUUGCCACUGUCCUGAGAAAGGGUCUACGAAUGUCUGAGUCUCAGUCUCCUCCUCGACUCACAUAAUCUAGGUUUAAAUCUAGCUUUGUCACCUCGUGGCUGUGUGAUUUUUGACAAGUUACUUAAACCUGAUCCGCAGGUACUACAGCUUUAAAAUGGGGCCAACAGAAGUACCUUGAACGCAGGUGUUGCUCAGAUUUCAGGCAAUAAGCAUGAAGUGCUCACCACAGCUUCUGAUCUAUCAUCAGAGCUCGUCUCCUUGUGGUUGCUCCUGCUCUUACGAGUCGGCAUAGAAAGGAGGCUGGUGUUCCAGGCUCACCCUGGUGGCCCGUCCCAAUUGAAAGCAUUGGCUUUACCAUUUUUUAGUUGAAGAAACUGAAGCUAGAAAAUUAAAGCCACAAAGCUAGGAGGCGAUGCAGCAGAAAUUUGAACCCAGGACAUGCUGGUGCGACUGCAAACCCAAGUGAUUUCCACUCUCUGUGCUGCCUCCCUGGAAGGCCUGAAUGCACUCUUGACGGGCUGUGUUGGGUCGUGAGCAUCAGUCUGGCUCAUGGCUUCCUUCAGUGCAGAGGAAGUUAACACCGGAGGGAACAGAUGAGCGGAUAAUGUGAGCCUGGAAAUAUGACUUUGCUGCACUUCACCAGAUGAGUUCGAGCGGAAUACCAGAUGGUGCUACCUCAUUUGUGUUUUUACAAAUAUGCAAUUCUUUUAUUUUUUUAAAGAAGAAAUAGAGAUCAUGUUGGUCCCAGGAAAAUAUAAAAAUUCUUAUGUUUUGCUGCAAUGUUGCCUUGUUGUCCUAUCUCAUAUAAGGAUGAUAUAAGCCUUAUUACAACAUAUAUGUGUGUUUUAAGAUUUUUAUAAUACUUUGUUUAAAAUACCCCUGUAUUUUUCCUGUUAUAAAGCAAUAUGUGUUCAUACUAAAACAUUUAGAACAUAUAGAUAAGUAAUAAUACUACCAUACUGAAUUGGCGACUGUUAACUAUUUGGUGCAUAUCCUUUCAUAAAUAUAUUGAUGCAUUUUUCUCAAGAGCUCCACUUUUAAAAUGUUCUUAACUGUACCAAAGAUGCUGAUUGGACAAAUGUUUCUUUAGGCUUUAUGAUCUUCUCAACAAACACUUUUAUUCAUCUCAUUACCGGGCACUCCUGUCCACACAAUUGCUCAUGCUGGAUAUCUAGCAGUCAGUUUUGGUACCUCCUUCUCCCCUCACCUCCCACAUCUGAUCUGUUACCAAGUCCUAUUGAUUCUACCUGUCUUCAUCCACCUUGCUGCAUCUCCACUGCCAUCACGUGCUUACUGGCCCAUGCAAAUAUUUCUUGCUGCCUGGAAUGCUCCCCUUUGUUCAUCUCCGUACCUCUUGCUCUCCCGAGGCCCCUUCCCUCUUGUCUUCACCUUCCUAAUAACUGCUUGCCCUUUAGAUUUCAUUUUUUGGUAUCAUUUCUUCCAGGAAACCCUUUCUGAUAAACCCAUCCAGACUGGAUUUGGUAUGUCUUCUGUAUGCUUUCUUAGCACCAUAUAUACGUCUCUAUUAUGCCACUUUUCACCCUGGAACUGCACCCUGUUUACCUUGCCGUGUUCCUCACUGUGUUCACUUAGCAAGUGCCUGCCCUUGCAGGUGAUUGAUACGUAUUGUUGGAUGGAUGAAUGGGCAUAGUAGGAAAUUAGGUUUAAUGGGAUCAGUUUUGGCCUCUGAGAACCAUAUUGAUUUUUGAGUAAAGGAGUGAUGCAGAAACACCUGACUUUAGAACUGGUAGUUUAUGGAGGACAAAUUGAAAAGAAAUGAGGUAAACUAAAGAGUACUACCAGGAGAUUGCUGCCUGAUUGAAGGGGAAAGUACCAACAACAUUGACUCUUGUUAUUGGGAAUAGGAAGGUACGAAUAUGAGGUCCCUCAAAUGAAUAAGCAAAGACCUGCUCCUGGUCACUCUUGGGUUAAAUAAUGCAAGUGGAACUGUCAGGGGUCCAUCCCAAAUAGCUCAGACAGACAAUUCUAACAGAAGAGGUGAUGGCUACAGGCUAGAAAGACACUUUCAGAAAGGUAGGUGGCGGCGGAGGGGGGGGGGGCUCGCUAAAAUUGCCCUUUUCUUUCCCACCACCUUCUCCUCAGCAACGGGUUCACCUAGUUCAACUCUCUCUCAUCUGGUGACACAAACUUUCUCCCAGGGGGAGGGGAUCUGACUGCCCUUCUGGGCGGUGUAGCUAUUCUCCCAAGAGCUGCUGUUUGCUUUUCUGAGUUUGCAUUUUAACAUGGACUAGUUGCAGUAGUAAUAGAAGGAACAGCACGUAACACAAUCUGUCAUCCCAAAGUUGGGAAAUAGAGCCAGGAGGUUAAUUCCUGGUGUUUGCAAAUACUGAGGAAACACUUCAAAAACAACAUAUGUACUUGUGUGUAGGUCAUACAAUGGAUCAUAAUUAUAAACAAUAGCAUUCUUGAAUAAAAAGGGAAAAUGAUGUCAUCGUAGAGCCGUAAGUAAUGAGCAAGUAUUUAAAGUCAGCUUACUGUAUUCACUAUAUUAGUAUACUGUGUGUGUGGUGAGUGUGCACAAGGAGGAUGAAGAAUAGUCUUUGCCCUCAGGGAGCUUGUACUUUGGGUGAGGAGAUAAGCUGUAGACUUAUGGAUGCGUAAAUAAAAAUAUAGGAGUAACUAAUUUAAUUUAUGGGUGGAUGAUUACUUAAGGCUCUGGGUUUUAGGUCUCCAGCCAACUCAAGGAGAAUUAAGCAACACAGGGGAAUUUAUUAUGAGGAGACAGGAACAUACCACUGGAGCAGGAAAGCAGCAGGGACUCCAAAAAGGAGCUGGAAGGACUGGGAAGCUGCCACCUCCCUUCUCUGUUUUCCAUCCACCCCCCAACCCUCAGCCCCACCACUGACUCAUUUUCUGAGGUGCUCCAGAGUGCCCAGGUGGGCAUGUUGCUGACUGGCUAUUUGAUUCCAAUUCAAAAUUUUCAGUUGAAGAAAUCUGAUUAUACUAACUGGGUUCAACAUCCAUCCUUAGUCUGACCAACCCUGAUUGCACAGUUGUGUGGUGGAAAUAGAGCUGUCAGGGCUCAGAGAGGCCAUUUUCAGAGAAGACGCCCAUUAUAGUGUAAAUAUUUUGUU